rnacentral:rRNA from 1 species
UUAAGCAUAUCAAUAAGCGGAGGAAAAGAAACUAACAAGGAUUCCCCUAGUAACGGCGAGUGAACCGGGAAGAGCUCAAAUUUGUAAUCUGGCGUGCUCCGUGCGUCCGAGUUGUAAUCUACAGAAGCGUUUUCUGUGCCGGACUGUGUCCAAGUCCCUUGGAACAGGGUAUCAAAGAGGGUGACAAUCCCGUGCUUGACACAACGACCGGUGCUUUGUGAUACGUUUUCUACGAGUCGAGUUGUUUGGGAAUGCAGCUCAAAAUGGGUGGUAAAUUCCAUCUAAAGCUAAAUAUUGGCGAGAGACCGAUAGCGAACAAGUACCGUGAGGGAAAGAUGAAAAGCACUUUGGAAAGAGAGUUAAACAGUACGUGAAAUUGUUGAAAGGGAAACGAUUGAAGUCAGUCGUGUCUAUUGGAUUCAGCCGGUUCUGCCGGUCUACUUCCUUUGGACGGGUCAACAUCAGUUAAAGUCGGUGGAAAAGGGCUGGAGGAAGGUAGCUCUCACGAGUGUUAUAGCCUCCUGUCGCAUACACUGGCCUUGACUGAGGAAUGCAGCUCGCCGCAAGGCAGGGGUUCGCCCACUUUCCGAGCUAGGAUGUUGACAUAAUGGCUUUAAACGACCCGU